rnacentral:rRNA from 2 species
UGGCUCAGGAUGAACGCUGGCGGCGUGCCUAAUACAUGCAAGUCGAACGAGUUCUCGUUGAUGAUCGGUGCUUGCACCGAGAUUCAACAUGGAACGAGUGGCGGACGGGUGAGUAACACGUGGGUAACCUGCCCUUAAGUGGGGGAUAACAUUUGGAAACAGAUGCUAAUACCGCAUAGAUCCAAGAACCGCAUGGUUCUUGGCUGAAAGAUGGCGUAAGCUAUCGCUUUUGGAUGGACCCGCGGCGUAUUAGCUAGUUGGUGAGGUAAUGGCUCACCAAGGCGAUGAUACGUAGCCGAACUGAGAGGUUGAUCGGCCACAUUGGGACUGAGACACGGCCCAAACUCCUACGGGAGGCAGCAGUAGGGAAUCUUCCACAAUGGACGCAAGUCUGAUGGAGCAACGCCGCGUGAGUGAAGAAGGCUUUCGGGUCGUAAAACUCUGUUGUUGGAGAAGAAUGGUCGGCAGAGUAACUGUUGUCGGCGUGACGGUAUCCAACCAGAAAGCCACGGCUAACUACGUGCCAGCAGCCGCGGUAAUACGUAGGUGGCAAGCGUUAUCCGGAUUUAUUGGGCGUAAAGCGAGCGCAGGCGGUUUUUUAAGUCUGAUGUGAAAGCCCUCGGCUUAACCGAGGAAGCGCAUCGGAAACUGGGAAACUUGAGUGCAGAAGAGGACAGUGGAACUCCAUGUGUAGCGGUGAAAUGCGUAGAUAUAUGGAAGAACACCAGUGGCGAAGGCGGCUGUCUGGUCUGUAACUGACGCUGAGGCUCGAAAGCAUGGGUAGCGAACAGGAUUAGAUACCCUGGUAGUCCAUGCCGUAAACGAUGAAUGCUAGGUGUUGGAGGGUUUCCGCCCUUCAGUGCCGCAGCUAACGCAUUAAGCAUUCCGCCUGGGGAGUACGACCGCAAGGUUGAAACUCAAAGGAAUUGACGGGGGCCCGCACAAGCGGUGGAGCAUGUGGUUUAAUUCGAAGCAACGCGAAGAACCUUACCAGGUCUUGACAUCUUUUGAUCACCUGAGAGAUCAGGUUUCCCCUUCGGGGGCAAAAUGACAGGUGGUGCAUGGUUGUCGUCAGCUCGUGUCGUGAGAUGUUGGGUUAAGUCCCGCAACGAGCGCAACCCUUAUGACUAGUUGCCAGCAUUUAGUUGGGCACUCUAGUAAGACUGCCGGUGACAAACCGGAGGAAGGUGGGGAUGACGUCAAAUCAUCAUGCCCCUUAUGACCUGGGCUACACACGUGCUACAAUGGAUGGUACAACGAGUUGCGAGACCGCGAGGUCAAGCUAAUCUCUUAAAGCCAUUCUCAGUUCGGACUGUAGGCUGCAACUCGCCUACACGAAGUCGGAAUCGCUAGUAAUCGCGGAUCAGCACGCCGCGGUGAAUACGUUCCCGGGCCUUGUACACACCGCCCGUCACACCAUGAGAGUUUGUAACACCCGAAGCCGGUGGCGUAACCCUUUUAGGGAGCGAGCCGUCU